rnacentral:lncRNA from 1 species
GCCAGGGAAGGAGCAGAGCAGGACCUCCAGCUUGGAGCUGGGUGAGGCAGAGCUCUCCUUUCUGCAGAAGAGCCAAACUUUGCUCCCACCGUUGUCAUCUUUAGGUUGAUGUCACCUCCCUACAAGGAGUCUCAGAAGCACUUGGCAGCUCCAGAAAACACGCUUCGCUUUGACCUAGAUCAUCCGCACAAGCCUUGGCUACACGGUGUGGGCGAGCACCGGUCCUCAACCCCGCUUUCCCGGGAUGCUGCGCCCUGCCUGGCAUCACAUCGCCUGGACCAGGAGACUUUUCUCUGCACAAACACUUGACUACAAAAACCAGGACGGACUUUGCACACGCCUUCCAGGUGUCACAGCGCCAACGCGGGGACCUACCUUGCUCUCGCCCUUGUCGCCGCUGGGUCUCGCCUCGGGAUCGUCGCUGUCCUCUGCGCCGGCACUCUCGCCGGGCGGUUCAUCCGGAGCCGGAUGCUGCGGAGGCAGCAGCGGGGGCUGGGGUUGGGGCUGGGGCGGCUGUGACGGCGCCUGGCAGGCUCCUCCAGCCCCCUGGGAGCGGGGGAUGGGCUCCGGGCGCGGAGAAACUCCCUCCACAUCCAUCUCCAUCUUCCCAUUCACUGGAGGGCAAGACAAAAGCGGAGCGCAGACUUGGCAGCGGCGCCCGGCGGCGGCUUAGCUGCCCGCGGCACGCAUGGCUCGCCGAGGAGGGGCCGCCUCUUGCGCGCCCUCCCUCCCGCCAGCCUUCGCCAGCGCGCCCCGCAGCUCUGCUCGCUGCUUGGCUCGGGCACCGGCAGCGCCGGCCCGGGGAGCGCGAGCAGCGGGGGCUGCGCGUCCUCGGAGUGGUGGCCUUCUGGCGCCCCCGGCAGUCCCGCUAAGCCGAGCGCAUCCCGGCGGUGGCGACACCUCCCAGCCGCGCGCCCAGCGCGAGGCCGCCCGGGGACUCGGUCCCCAGCCCGGCCUCCAGAUCCUCGGCGCUUUCCAGCCUCUCCGGGGGCCCCUCGGCGUCUCCCCUCCCCUCCGCCUCGCAACAAAGUUACUGGAAGAACAAUCGCGUCUCCGGGACCUGCGGGCGAAACUGACAGGAGAGGGGCCGGUCAGGUGUAAGUGAAACCCACCACCC